rnacentral:rRNA from 1 species
UACGUAGGGUGCGAGCGUUGCCCGGAUUUAUUGGGCGUAAAGGGCGCGUAGGCGGCUCGGCACGUCCGUUGUGAAAUCGCCCGGCUCAACUGGGCGGGGUCGGCGGAUACGGCCGAGCUGGAGCAAGCUAGGGGGUAAUGGAAUUCCCGGUGUAGUGGUGGAAUGCGUAGAUAUAGGAAGGAACACCAGUGGCGAAGGCGACCACCUGGGCUCAUACUGACACUGAGGUGCGAAAGCGUGGGGAGCAAACAGG